AUAUUUUCUUGGUUUUUUAGAUGUUUCACGUCUCCUUUCUUCUACUUCCAGCAUCUUCUUCUUUCUUCUUCGACUGGUUUUUUAGAUGUUCCUCAGUGUCGCAGGAAAAAUGAAGCCCAUCUUCUGUGGAAAUUUUGAGUAUGACGCAUGACCAUCUGAUCUGGAACGGCUUUUCAGUAGAUAUGGGAAGGUUGAGAGAGUGGAUAUGAAGUCUGGAGAUCCCGCUGUUGAAGGAUUUGAGGGGACUCAUUUGGUUUUUGUGGCUGCUGGACCAGACUCAUUUGAUGUAAUCACAAAUGCAGUGAAAUGCCAGACAUGUUGAACUGGUUUGGCUGGUGUACAUGGGAUGCUUUCUAUACUGAUGUCACUUCAGAGGGCGUAAAGCAAGGUUUAGAGAGCUUAGAGAAGGGUGGAAUUCCUCCAAAAUUUGUUAUAAUUGAUGAUGGAUGGCAAUUAGUUAGCAUAGAUCUCACUGGCACUGUCCCCAAGGGGUAGCUCAAUCGGCUGGGGACCACGCCUCAUGAAGCGGAGGUCACUAGUUCGAAUUUCUCCUCUCCCUCCCCUCUUGUGUGGACACGUCAACAAAAAAAAAAAAAAAAAAAAGGAUCCCACUGGCACUGAAUCCAAAGCUGAUAACGCAACCAACUGUCUUCCUGUCGUUCAUCUUUGCAAACAGGUUGACAAAUAUCAAAGAGAACCACAAAUUUCAGAAAGAUGGCGAAGAGGUUCACGGAGUAGAGGAUCCAACAUUGGGACUUCGCCACAUUGUUGGUGAAAUGAAGGACAAACAUGCUUUAAAGUACGUUUAUGUGUGGCAUGCAAUAACAGGGUAUUGAGCUGGUGUUACCGAAAUGGGACACUAUGAGUCUAAAUUGGCCUACCCUGUUUCAUCUCCCGGGGGUUGUAUCAAAUGAGGCAUGUGAUAGUUUAAAAAGCAUUACAGCAAAUGGGCGUAGCCUUGUGAACCCUAAAAAAGUUUUGAAUUUCUAUAAUGAACUCCACUCAUAUCUGACAUCGGCUGGUAUUGAUGGUGUUAAAGUUUAUGUUCGGAACAUCCUCGAAACUCUAUAUUUUUCAAUAAUUCAAUAUAUACUUGUUCAAUAA